ACGCCUAGACAUGGCCGACGCGGGUCGUGUCGAAGUGUAAUGUCUAUUCUGAACAGUUUAGCAUCUGAUACGGGUCGUGUUUGUAUCCUAGAUAUUAAACUUAUUUUUGCAAGUUGGUGGAUUGCUUAAAGCCUGCUUGACUUUCGCCGCGGGUCUGCCGGGAAUCGCACUAUCUUCGGGAUCGACCCAUGGUUU